UACGUAGGGGGCAAGCGUUGUCCGGAUUUAUUGGGCGUAAAGAGCUCGUAGGCGGUUGGGCAAGUCACGUGUGAAAUCUCCACGCUCAACGUGGAGGCGCCACGUGAGACUGCCCUGACUCGAGUCCGGUAGGGGAGCGUGGAAUUCCCGGUGUAGCGGUGAAAUGCGUUGAUAUCGAUAGGAACUCCGGUGGCGAAGGCGGCAUACUGGUCCACUUCGUGACGCUGACGGCGCGAAAGCC
rnacentral:rRNA from 1 species